AAGUAAUUUUGUGUGGAAUAUUUCAUACUUUGCUCAGGUUAUUCGUUUUGAAAUCAGUGACGAGCUGCCAAACAUCACUGAAUCAUUAUUCUGCUGUAUGGCCAUUGCAAGAAGAGACAAAACGUAAAUCUGUAAUCAUUAAACGAUACAAGCCAUCAUUUUAGAAACAAUUUGAAACAUAUAUGCACAAAAGAUUAUGUUUGAUACAUUAUGCAACAUAUAGAAAUGCUGUCAUG